GGGUCAUUAGGUUGGUAGUGCCACCGGUACUUACUGGUCUCAAUGAUUCCUCCUUCCUGAAGAACCGUAAUGCCAUUAAUUUGGUGUUGCGGGGAAACAGGACUGUUACUUUGAAAAAAUUAGAGUGUUUAAAGCAAGCUAACGCUUGAAUACAUUAGCAUGGAAUAAUGAAAUAGGACGAUCGAUCCUAUUUUGUUGGUUUCUAGGAUUGACGUA
rnacentral:rRNA from 1 species